ensembl:lncRNA
AAUCACAGUCUUGCGGGGUACGUGAGCCCUAGGAGGAUUUUGUUGGAUAGUUACACAUUUUGGCGGACGCACUUACGUCUUAUGUAACUGCGCAAGGGGCUUAAAACAGCGCUUAUGUAUCUUACGUGCGUACGUUUCUACGUUAAAACCGAGUAUAAAAGCCCCUUAAGCCUACUGUCCUGGGCUAGUUUUACAACAAAGGUGUAAAAAGGUUUUACACAUCUGUUAUUUGAUUCAGAGCCUGUAACUCCAAAGGAGAAGGCCAAACCAGCUAAGAAAGGUAUCUCCUCCUGUGAUCAGAUACACUGUUAUCAGAUCCAUUCUUAUCUGAUCACAACAGAUACUCAAGCGCUUUAUUCCCCUGGCUUGCACUGGCGCUGUACUGUAAAAGCAAUACUAAACCCCUUUUUGUACUUUUUCAUUGGUCUAAUCUCAUGUGUUCUUUCAUAGAAGCUGAGCUUCCAAAGAUGAAAGCAAAGCCAGCGCCAGAAGUGAAAGGUAAUGAGUCCCUUAGGGUUGUUUUGCUGGAUAAAACAUGUCUGCCAACUGAAAUUGUCACAUUUUCAUAUUAUAAAUGUUAAAUGUAAAAACACAACCUGGUAUAUUUUAGAGUAUAAUACACACUAUUAAUAUUAAUAGUGUUUGUGUGACUUAAAACCUUAGAUACUGACAACGUUAUACAAUGUUACCUUUAUGAAUUAUCUUUCAUGUUCAUACACAGCGGUAGCUAGUUUAAAACAUUACACACACACAUAAGGCAAGUUCGGAUCUUUUAUUUUGGGGUGGCUUUGCAGUGCCAGCCUCGGGCACAAGCCUAAACUCGUGCAUGAAUUGCAGUGGUUUCUUUCAAUUAACAUUAAUUAAGUGUAAACACAACCUGGUAUAUUUUAUGAGUGUAAUACACACUAUUAAUAUUAACAGAGUUUACUUAGUUACUGAAGAUGCUGUACUCUAAGGAGUAUUGUCAGCAUAUUCCAUCGUAUGGUAGAAAGGGUAAAUCACGAUCUCUUGUUUGAUUCAGAGCCUCCAAGAGAGAAGGCCAAAUCAGCUAAGAAAGAACCUGAGAUUCCAAAGGAGAAGGCCAAACCUGCUAAGAAAGGUAUCCUCCAGUGGCAGAUCACUCCAUGAUUUGCAUAACUCCAAAAUUUCUAAUUUCUUAUUUCUAAUCUGUAAUUUCUCAUAUUCAAACACAGACCAAGAAGCUCCGAAGGAAAAAGCCAAGGCUGCCCCAGCAGUAAAAGGUAAUAAUUUGAAUAUACCGAAAUACUGCUUCUUUUAGAUUCUUAAGUCUAUUUAUUGUGUGCUUUCUCUUAACAACUGUGAGUUACCCCCCAGUGCGGCAGUGUUCUAAGGUUUCAAUAACAAAGGCGGUAGAAUUAUAAAUGCUAUAGUCCUUUCAACAAUAGGUAAUUUCCUAUGUUAUGUUUGUUUUGUUUUCUUACCUGCUUCAGAGCCUGUAACUCCAAAGGAGAAGGCCAGACCACCUAAGAAAGGUCUAUGUCAUUCUACAUUGUUAGAUGCUAAGUAGAGUAGACGCCUCACUACAGAUUGUGUGUGUUUGUGCGUGUGUGUGUGUGUGCGUGCGUGCGUGCGUGUGUGUGUGUUUGUGGGCGCGCGUGCGUGUGUGUGUGUAGGAGACUUGCACGUGCUCUUUGCUGUAAAUGGUUCUUGCUCUACAUGCAGUCCCAUCUCUCUAUAUUUAUACAUACAUAUCUGAGGAAUGUAAGGACCGAUACAGAACCAGUACCACCAAAGCAGCCUGCUAGGGAAGGUGGGCCUAGUCGUAGAAGGCUCUGAUUUUAUCAGCUUAUUACAAAUUCCAAAAGACCAAAAAUGUUAAGGUUUUUCAAACAUUUUAAGAUAUGUGGUGUGUAGCUUCUGCUGUUAUUUAUUUGCAAGCAAAAAUAUUUACAUUAUACCUUAUAUUUACAUUUUACUUUUGUCUGUUUUAGAACCUGAGGUUUCAAAGGAGAAAAUCAAACUGGAAAGGAAGGGUAAGGCGGCUGCUAUUCUCCCAACAGUUAAAUGUCAUUCUGUGAGUCCAACGUGGCAUUUAAAAAACAUAUUCUGCCUUUGCCAAAACCCAAUAGCUCUUUUCUGUGUCUGACAGAACCCGAGGCUCCGAAGG